GGUAGUAGGUAAGCGAUGGGGUGACGCAGGAAGGUAGUCCAGCCCGGGCGGUGGUAGUCCCGGGGUAAGGGUGUAGGCCGAGGGGUAGGCAAAUCCGUCCCUCAUUAAGGCUGAGACCUGAUGCCGAGCCGAUUGUGGUGAAGUGGAUGAUCCUAUGCUGUCGAGAAAAGCCUCUAGCGAGUUUCAUGGCGGCCCGUACCCUAAACCGACUCAGGUGGUCAGGUAGAGAAUACCGAGGCGUUCGGGUGAACUAUGGUUAAGGAACUCGGCAAAAUGCCCCCGUAACUUCGGGAGAAGGGGGGCCAUCACUGGUGAUCGGAUUUACUCCGUGAGCUGGGGGUGGCCGCAGAGACCAGCGAGAAGCGACUGUUUACUAAAAACACAGGUCCGUGCGAAGCCGUAAGGCGAUGUAUACGGACUGACGCCUGCCCGGUGCUGGAACGUUAAGGGGACCGGUUAGUCACAUUUCGGUGUGGCGAAGCUGAGAACUUAAGCGCCAGUAAACGGCGGUGGUAACUAUAACCAUCCUAAGGUAGCGAAAUUCCUUGUCGGGUAAGUUCCGACCUGCACGAAUGGCGUAACGACUUCUCGACUGUCUCAACCAUAGGCCCGGUGAAAUUGCACUACGAGUAAAGAUGCUCGUUUCGCGCAGCAGGACGGAAAGACCCCGGGACCUUUACUAUAGUUUGAUAUUGGUGUUCGGUUCGGCUUGUGUAGGAUAGGUGGGAGACUUUGAAGCAGCCACGCCAGUGGUUGUGGAGUCGCCGUUGAAAUACCACUCUGGUCGUGCUGGAUGUCUAACCUCGGUCCGUGAUCCGGAUCAGGGACAGUGUCUGAUGGGUAGUUUAACUGGGGCGGUUGCCUCCUAAAGAGUAACGGAGGCGCCCAAAGGUUCCCUCAGCCUGGUUGGCAAUCAGGUGUUGAGUGUAAGUGCACAAGGGAGCUUGACUGUGAGACCGACGGGUCGAGCAGGGACGAAAGUCGGGACUAGUGAUCCGGCGGUGGCUUGUGGAAGCGCCGUCGCUCAACGGAUAAAAGGUACCCCGGGGAUAACAGGCUGAUCUUCCCCAAGAGUCCAUAUCGACGGGAUGGUUUGGCACCUCGAUGUCGGCUCGUCGCAUCCUGGGGCUGGAGUCGGUCCCAAGGGUUGGGCUGUUCGCCCAUUAAAGCGGUACGCGAGCUGGGUUUAGAACGUCGUGAGACAGUUCGGUCCCUAUCCGCUGUGCGCGUAGGAAUAUUGAGAAGGGCUGUCCCUAGUACGAGAGGACCGGGACGGACGAACCUCUGGUGUGCCAGUUGUCCUGCCAAGGGCAUGGCUGGUUGGCUACGUUCGGGAGGGAUAACCGCUGAAAGCAUCUAAGCGGGAAGCCUGCUUCAAGAUGAGUAUUCCCACCUCCUUGAGAGGGUAAGGCUCCCAGUAGACGACUGGGUUGAUAGGCCAGAUGUGGAAGCCCGGUAACGGGUGAAGCUGACUGGUACUAAUAGGCCGAGGGCUUGUCCUC
rnacentral:rRNA from 1 species